GGAGGUAUGGCUCAGUGGUAGAGCAUUCGACUGCAGAUCGAUAUGUCCCCAGUUUAAACCUGGGUGCCCC
rnacentral:tRNA from 1 species